rnacentral:rRNA from 1 species
UUAAGCGACUAAGCGUACACGGUGGAUGCCCUGGCAGUCAGAGGCGAUGAAGGACGUGCUAAUCUGCGAUAAGCGUCGGUAAGGUGAUAUGAACCGUUAUAACCGGCGAUUUCCGAAUGGGGAAACCCAGUGUGUUUCGACACACUAUCAUUAACUGAAUCCAUAGGUUAAUGAGGCGAACCGGGGGAACUGAAACAUCUAAGUACCCCGAGGAAAAGAAAUCAACCGAGAUUCCCCCAGUAGCGGCGAGCGAACGGGGAGCAGCCCAGAGCCUGAAUCAGUGUGUGUGUUAGUGGAAGCGUCUGGAAAGGCGCGCGAUACAGGGUGACAGCCCCGUACACAAAAAUGCACAUGCUGUGAGCUCGAUGAGUAGGGCGGGACACGUGGUAUCCUGUCUGAAUAUGGGGGGACCAUCCUCCAAGGCUAAAUACUCCUGACUGACCGAUAGUGAACCAGUACCGUGAGGGAAAGGCGAAAAGAACCCCGGCGAGGGGAGUGAAAAAGAACCUGAAACCGUGUACGUACAAGCAGUGGGAGCACGCUUAGGCGUGUGACUGCGUACCUUUUGUAUAAUGGGUCAGCGACUUAUAUUCUGUAGCAAGGUUAACCGAAUAGGGGAGCCGAAGGGAAACCGAGUCUUAACUGGGCGUUAAGUUGCAGGGUAUAGACCCGAAACCCGGUGAUCUAGCCAUGGGCAGGUUGAAGGUUGGGUAACACUAACUGGAGGACCGAACCGACUAAUGUUGAAAAAUUAGCGGAUGACUUGUGGCUGGGGGUGAAAGGCCAAUCAAACCGGGAGAUAGCUGGUUCUCCCCGAAAGCUAUUUAGGUAGCGCCUCGUGAAUUCAUCUCCGGGGGUAGAGCACUGUUUCGGCAAGGGGGUCAUCCCGACUUACCAACCCGAUGCAAACUGCGAAUACCGGAGAAUGUUAUCACGGGAGACACACGGCGGGUGCUAACGUCCGUCGUGAAGAGGGAAACAACCCAGACCGCCAGCUAAGGUCCCAAAGUCAUGGUUAAGUGGGAAACGAUGUGGGAAGGCCCAGACAGCCAGGAUGUUGGCUUAGAAGCAGCCAUCAUUUAAAGAAAGCGUAAUAGCUCACUGGUCGAGUCGGCCUGCGCGGAAGAUGUAACGGGGCUAAACCAUGCACCGAAGCUGCGGCAGCGACGCUUAUGCGUUGUUGGGUAGGGGAGCGUUCUGUAAGCCUGCGAAGGUGUGCUGUGAGGCAUGCUGGAGGUAUCAGAAGUGCGAAUGCUGACAUAAGUAACGAUAAAGCGGGUGAAAAGCCCGCUCGCCGGAAGACCAAGGGUUCCUGUCCAACGUUAAUCGGGGCAGGGUGAGUCGACCCCUAAGGCGAGGCCGAAAGGCGUAGUCGAUGGGAAACAGGUUAAUAUUCCUGUACUUGGUGUUACUGCGAAGGGGGGACGGAGAAGGCUAUGUUGGCCGGGCGACGGUUGUCCCGGUUUAAGCGUGUAGGCUGGUUUUCCAGGCAAAUCCGGAAAAUCAAGGCUGAGGCGUGAUGACGAGGCACUACGGUGCUGAAGCAACAAAUGCCCUGCUUCCAGGAAAAGCCUCUAAGCAUCAGGUAACAUCAAAUCGUACCCCAAACCGACACAGGUGGUCAGGUAGAGAAUACCAAGGCGCUUGAGAGAACUCGGGUGAAGGAACUAGGCAAAAUGGUGCCGUAACUUCGGGAGAAGGCACGCUGAUAUGUAGGUGAGGUCCCUCGCGGAUGGAGCUGAAAUCAGUCGAAGAUACCAGCUGGCUGCAACUGUUUAUUAAAAACACAGCACUGUGCAAACACGAAAGUGGACGUAUACGGUGUGACGCCUGCCCGGUGCCGGAAGGUUAAUUGAUGGGGUUAGCGCAAGCGAAGCUCUUGAUCGAAGCCCCGGUAAACGGCGGCCGUAACUAUAACGGUCCUAAGGUAGCGAAAUUCCUUGUCGGGUAAGUUCCGACCUGCACGAAUGGCGUAAUGAUGGCCAGGCUGUCUCCACCCGAGACUCAGUGAAAUUGAACUCGCUGUGAAGAUGCAGUGUACCCGCGGCAAGACGGAAAGACCCCGUGAACCUUUACUAUAGCUUGACACUGAACAUUGAGCCUUGAUGUGUAGGAUAGGUGGGAGGCUUUGAAGUGUGGACGCCAGUCUGCAUGGAGCCGACCUUGAAAUACCACCCUUUAAUGUUUGAUGUUCUAACGUUGACCCGUAAUCCGGGUUGCGGACAGUGUCUGGUGGGUAGUUUGACUGGGGCGGUCUCCUCCUAAAGAGUAACGGAGGAGCACGAAGGUUGGCUAAUCCUGGUCGGACAUCAGGAGGUUAGUGCAAUGGCAUAAGCCAGCUUGACUGCGAGCGUGACGGCGCGAGCAGGUGCGAAAGCAGGUCAUAGUGAUCCGGUGGUUCUGAAUGGAAGGGCCAUCGCUCAACGGAUAAAAGGUACUCCGGGGAUAACAGGCUGAUACCGCCCAAGAGUUCAUAUCGACGGCGGUGUUUGGCACCUCGAUGUCGGCUCAUCACAUCCUGGGGCUGAAGUAGGUCCCAAGGGUAUGGCUGUUCGCCAUUUAAAGUGGUACGCGAGCUGGGUUUAGAACGUCGUGAGACAGUUCGGUCCCUAUCUGCCGUGGGCGCUGGAGAACUGAGGGGGCUGCUCCUAGUACGAGAGGACCGGAGUGGACGCAUCACUGGUGUUCGGGUUGUCAUGCCAAUGGCACUGCCCGGUAGCUAAAUGCGGAAGAGAUAAGUGCUGAAAGCAUCUAAGCACGAAACUUGCCCCGAGAUGAGUUCUCCCUGACCCUUUAAGGGUCCUGAAGGAACGUUGAAGACGACGACGUUGAUAGGCCGGGUGUGUAAGCGCAGCGAUGCGUUGAGCUAACCGGUACUAAUGAACCGUGAGGCUUAACCUU